rnacentral:rRNA from 1 species
AGAACGAACGCUGGCGGCAUGCCUAAUACAUGCAAGUCGAACGAACUCUUCGGAGUUAGUGGCGCACGGGUGCGUAACGCGUGGGAAUCUGCCCCUUGGUUCGGAAUAACAGUUGGAAACGACUGCUAAUACCGGAUGAUGACGAAAGUCCAAAGAUUUAUCGCCAAGGGAUGAGCCCGCGUAGGAUUAGCUAGUUGGUGAGGUAAAGGCUCACCAAGGCAACGAUCCUUAGCUGGUCUGAGAGGAUGAUCAGCCACACUGGGACUGAGACACGGCCCAGACUCCUACGGGAGGCAGCAGUAGGGAAUAUUGGACAAUGGGACGAAAGCCUGAUCCAGCAAUGCCGCGUGAGUGAUGAAGGCCGUUAGGGUUGUAAAGUCUUCUUUUAACCCGAGUAUGAAUAAUGAACAGUAGUACGGGAAGAAGUAACGCCCCGGACUAACCGUCCCGUAGCCCAGCCAGCCCGGAC